GGGUUCCGCCGCGGGGCUGCGAGCGCGCGCGGGCCAGUUCGGGCCGGGGGCGGGAACCGGCUCGGAUGCUCAGGGACGGUGGGGGUGGCAGGGCCCACCGGCUUGAGGCUGCCUUUCCCGGCGUUCCCUCGUUUAUUGGCUCACUCUUCCUUUCAUCCAUCCAUCCUUUGCGCAACAAUAUUUGAUGGGAAGCCUGCCAAGUCCAAUGUGAGUCAGGCAUCUCUCCUGGUGGCUGUCUUCCAUGUGGUGACUUAUGUAUCCAGGAUCCUUCUACUGUGUUUCUCCUCCAUUGCGAAGUCCUUCACUUCCAGCACCUGAGACAUUUUUUGGGUAUAUCUACAAGUGGCAUAUAUCACUUCUGCCCACAUUCACCUGGGUAGAACUCAAUCACAUUGUUUCACCUAACUGCAAGUGAGGCUGUGGAAUAUAGUCUCCCUAUGUGCCCAAGCAGAAGAAACAGGAUUGUGUGACUCUACAAUGUGUGAUUGCUCCUGGUGAAUCAAAAGGAUAAAGCUGCUGAUUCUGCAAUUUGAUAACCCAACCAUGCUGACCUCAAAGUGUAGUCAAUCCAUGAAGUUCCUCCCACCACAGCUCAUCCUGAACACUGCCCACCUGAGUCAUCAAGAAAGGUGACAGAAAUGUGCCCCCACAUUGAGGGUUGGGGCAUCAGGAUGGGACUGGAAGAAGAGUCUACGAAGGACCUCAGGACAUUCAUAAUAAUCAUGAACAACUUUGAAGGUACAAGGUGAGGACACGUGCAAGCCCAGGUGAUUCCUUGAGUAUAGGAGUGGAAAGUGAAAGGAGUUUACAUCUGGAGCCUAGUUUUCCUCUGCUAAGUAGCAGAUUUCACCUGAUUCUUGGCCACAAAGUUUCAAGGGAACCAGAGCUAAUGAAGACAGCAUGGAAGGGCACCGCCGAGACCUACCUGUGGGAGUCCACCUCACCCUCAAGAACAGCUACCAUUUUAACACAGAUGGAUAAACCCCAUGAAAGUGAACUUCCUAAAUGCAAAUUCUGAUCUUGAAGCCCCAGCUGGCACAUCUACUGGAGACCCUCCCAAGCAACAAGAUGUAGAUGCUUUAGAGAUAACAAACUAUACAAGUUGUCUUCCAUUCUUUCUCCUUCCUCUAUUUUCAACACGGAUAAAAUACAUAUAUAUUUAUCUUGCUGAGCUCAGUAGGAUUAUUUAGCUUUAUUUCCAUGGCUGCCUUUUCUUAAUGUAAUAGAAUUUCCAAUCGAGCUUAUUACUUCCUUCCGUCACAAGCCUGAGGUCCUUUCACACCCAUCCUGUCCUUGGCAAAGAUCUUUGGAAAGUAGCCUGGGACAUACCUAGUGGUAAGCCACCUGCUCUGGGUUGAGGGUGGAUCUAUUCUAGUCAGAGGCUUUGUGAUCUGGACAAAGGAAUUGAGUAUGUGGCUGUCAAACUGUCAGGCAAUACUAAAUUUGGCUGGCCAGCUGAAUUCUAGCAGAAAAUCAUGCAAAAUAAGGUUUAGCAAUUGGGGAAAAAUGGCCCACAGGAAAAACAAAGGGAUGAAAUUCCGUAGGACUACACGGCCAUAGAAUUCUAACUUGAGGGCUGCAACCAGCUAUGUGACCUUGUAGUACAAGGACCAGUCUUCAGAUACAAAAUAGAGUUUGGAGUUAAAGGGAUCUUUGAGAAGAAGCCAUUAUCCACCCCCUCCUCCCAAUUUUAUAUGCCCUAAGAAAAAGGUUUCUUUCAACUUAGAAAGGUAUGAUUCUUGAAGUGCACUUCCUCCGAGUUUUCCUGAGCCUCUCAAUCAAAAUGACUUGCACCUGCCCAUCCAUUCCCAUUGGCUUAUGCUCCUACCCUGCAGUAUUGGCUUCAUUAUGCCUCACCUUGUACACCUGUCUGAUUCCUCUCCUAGAUUAUCAGCACCUUGACAAUGGGCUCGUAUCUUGUGUAUCCCUGAAUUUCCAGGGACAAUGAUAGUGCCUGCCACAUAAUUGAUGGUCAAUAAAUUUUGGUUAAAUAGUAACAAGAAA
rnacentral:lncRNA from 1 species